GUGGUUCAGUCCCUCUAUCCCCA
rnacentral:tRNA from 1 species